CGUAAGGAGCGCUUAAGGGUAAUACCGGUGACUGGGGCUAAGUCGUAACAAGGUAGCCGUACCGGAAGGUGUGGCUGGAACACCUCCUUUCUGGAGCAUCAAAUUGUUUUGUGGUACAGUAUUUACUAUGUUUGUUUUAUCCCAUUUUGGGGUAUGCACACACUGCUGUUUCUUUUAUUAGGUAUAUACGGGAAUAAACGGUGCUGGAGCGAUCUUGCGAGUUGAAAAGCAUAUGCCGUACUGUUGCAUUACAGUCCUAUAGCUCAGUUGGUUAGAGCGCUACACUGAUAAUGUAGAGGUCGGCAGUUCAACUCUGCCUGGGACUACGAUGAAAUUAAGUUUAAGGGGGAUUAGCUCAGCUGGCUAGAGCACCUGCUUUGCAAGCAGGGGGUCAUCGGUUCGAAUCCUAUAUUCUCCACAAUGGUUAGAUGAAAAGGUCUAAUCGACCGGAUCUUUGACAUAUUUAGUACCCCAAGAAGAUACCACCAAGAGUAGAGCCGUUACUUUGUACUUUUAUGUGCGAAGUAACGAACCGAUAAAAAAAGUAAUCUGCAAAAGCAAAUUAAUUACUCAACAAAGAUAGUUUCGAUUUCGAUUGGAACUUUUUAGGCGAAAAAUAAGUAAGGGC
rnacentral:misc_RNA from 1 species